ACCUGGCUGGCUCAGUUGGAAGAGCAUGUGACUCUUGAUCUUGGGGUCGUGAGUUGGAGCCCCACGUUGGGUG
rnacentral:tRNA from 1 species